UCGGGAAGCGAUCUCCCGACGAGGCUCCGGCUGAAGAAUCGC
rnacentral:ncRNA from 2 species